AAAAAGCUCGUAGUUGGAGUUCAGGGUGAGCUCAGCUGGUCGGCCUAAUGGGUCAGAACUGGUUGACUCUCCCUUGGUUGUGGAUCCCUCCGGAGUUAAUUCUUCGGGUGUGGAGUCCACAUCGUUUACCUUGAAAAAAUUAGAGUGUUCAAAGCAGGCGUUUGCUUGAAUAUAUUAGCAUGGAAUAAUGGAAUAGGACGCUGGUUCUAUUUUGUUGGUUUUGAGAACCAGAGUAAUGAUUAAUAGGGACAGUUGGGGGCAUUCAUAUUUCAUUGUCAGAGGUGAAAUUCUUGGAUUUAUGAAAGAUGAACUUCUGCGAAAGCAUUUGCCAAGGAUGUUUUCAUUAAUCAAGAACGAAAGUUAGGGGAUCGAAAACGAUCAGAUACCGUCGUAGUCUUAACCAUAAACUAUGCCGACUAGGGAUUGGGCGUGGUUUGUUCAUUGACCCGCUCAGCACCUUACGAGAAAUCAAAGUCUUUGGGUUCCGGGGGGAGUAUGGUCGCAAGGCUGAAACUUAAAGGAAUUGACGGAGGGGCACCACCAGGAGUGGAGCCUGCGGCUUAAUUUGACUCAACACGGGAAAACUUACCAGGUCCAGACAUAGUAAGGAUUGACAGAUUGAGAGCUCUUUCUUGAUUCUAUGGGUGGUGGUGCAUGGCCG
rnacentral:rRNA from 1 species